GGGGUUAUGGCUCAGUGGUAGAGCGCUCGCCUUGUGCGUGAGAGACCUUGGGUUUGAUUCUCAGCACCA
rnacentral:tRNA from 1 species